rnacentral:lncRNA from 1 species
AAAAAUUCUGUGACUCCUCACCAGGACUACUCUGGUCAGAGUUUUACUGAAUUAAAAUAUAGUGAUGCAUCUUCUCCAAUUUUACUUUGAGCGAUCAUUUCAUCUUGACUCGCACUUAAACUCACAAGAACUUGACUGUACCCAAAAAUCUUUUAUUACUAAAUUAAAAAUUCAGGUAGUCCGACAUCAAAGUACGAUGGUUGUUUGCAAGUCACCAAGAUAGUCUUAGAUCAGAGAGACACUUAUAUCCAUAUCC